UCAAAGAUUAAGCCAUGCAUGUCUAAGUAUAAGCAACUAUACGGUGAAACUGCGAAUGGCUCAUUAAAUCAGUUAUCGUUUAUUUGAUAGUACCUUACUACAUGGAUAACCGUGGUAAUUCUAGAGCUAAUACAUGCUAAAAGCCUCGACUCCGGGAGAGGCGUACUUGUUGGAUAAAAAACCAAUGCCUUCGGGGCUGCUUGGUGAAUCAUAAUAAUUGCACGAAUCGCAUGGCCUUGCGCCGGCGAUGGUUCAUUCAAAUUUCUGCCCUAUCAACUUUCGAUGGUAGGAUAGUGGCCUACCAUGGUUUCAACGGGUAACGGGGAAUUAGGGUUCGACUCCGGAGAGGGAGCCUGAGAAACGGCUACCACAUCCAAGGAAGGCAGCAGGCGCGCAAAUUACCCAAUGCCGACACGGCGAGGUAGUGACAAUAAAUACUGAUCCAGGGCUCUUUCGGGUCUUGGAAUUGGAAUGAGUACAAUUUAAAUCCC
rnacentral:rRNA from 1 species